rnacentral:rRNA from 1 species
UACGUAGGGGGCGAGCGUUGUCCGGAAUCAUUGGGCGUAAAGCGCGUGUAGGCGGCCCGGUAAGUCCGCUGUGAAAGUCCAGGGCUCAACCCCGGGAGGCGGGCGGAUACUGUCGGGCUAGAGUCCGGAAGGGGCGAGUGGAAUUCCUGGUGUAGCGGUGAAAUGCGCAGAUAUCAGGAGGAACACCGAUGGCGAAGGCAGCUCGCUGGGACGGUACUGACGCUGAGACGCGAAAGCGUGGGGAGCAAACAGG